AGUGAACGCUGGCGGUAGGCCUAACACAUGCAAGUCGAACGGCACCACAGUAAGAGCUUGCUCUUACGGGUGGCGAGUGGCGGACGGGUGAGGAAUACAUCGGAAUCUACUUUUUCGUGGGGGAUAACGUAGGGAAACUUACGCUAAUACCGCAUACGACCUACGGGUGAAAGCAGGGGAUCUUCGGACCUUGCGCGAUUGAAUGAGCCGAUGUCGGAUUAGCUAGUUGGCGGGGUAAAGGCCCACCAAGGCGACGAUCCGUAGCUGGUCUGAGAGGAUGAUCAGCCACACUGGAACUGAGACACGGUCCAGACUCCUACGGGAGGCAGCAGUGGGGAAUAUUGGACAAUGGGCGCAAGCCUGAUCCAGCCAUACCGCGUGGGUGAAGAAGGCCUUCGGGUUGUAAAGCCCUUUUGUUGGGAAAGAAAAGCAGCAGGUUAAUACCCCGCCGUUCUGACGGUACCCAAAGAAUAAGCACCGGCUAACUUCGUG
rnacentral:rRNA from 1 species